UUGACCUCAAAUCAGGUAGGACUACCCGCUGAACUUAAGCAUAUCAAUAAGCGGAGGAAAAGAAACUAACAAGGAUUCCCCUAGUAACUGCGAGUGAAGAAGGGGAAAAGCUCAAAUUUAAAAAUCC
rnacentral:rRNA from 1 species